rnacentral:rRNA from 1 species
UUGGAGGGCAAGUCUGGUGCCAGCAGCCGCGGUAAUUCCAGCUCCAAUAGCGUAUAUUAAAGUUGUUGCAGUUAAAAAGCUCGUAGUUGAAUUUCGGGAUCAAUGUUUCGGUCAUGCCGUUGGUAUGUACUGAUAUUAUUGAUUUCUCACCUUCUAAAGAACCGUAAUGCCAUUAAUUUGGUGUCACGGGGAAUUAGGACUGUUACCUUGAAAAAAUUAGAGUGUUUAAAGCAGGCUCACGCUUGAAUACAUUAGCAUGGAAUAAUGAAAUAGGACAUCCGAUUCUAUUUUGUUGGUUUCUAGGAUCGAUGUAAUGAUUAAUAGGGAUAGUUGGGGGCAUUAGUAUUCAAUUGUCAGAGGUGAAAUUCUUGGAUCUAUUGAAGACUAACUACUGCGAAAGCAUUUGCCAAGGAUGUUUUCAUUAAUCAAGAACGAAAGUUAGGGGAUCGAAGACGAUCAGAUACCGUCGUAGUCUUAACCAUAAACUAUGCCGACUAGGGAUCGGAUGAUGUUAAUUUUUUAAUGACUCAUUCGGCGCCUUACGGGAAAC